GUUGAACGCUGGCGGCAGGCCUAACACAUGCAAGUCGAGCGGUAGCACAGAGAGCUUGCUCUCGGGUGACGAGCGGCGGACGGGUGAGUAAUGUCUGGGAAACUGCCUGAUGGAGGGGGAUAACUACUGGAAACGGUAGCUAAUACCGCAUAACGUCGCAAGACCAAAGAGGGGGACCUUCGGGCCUCUUGCCAUCAGAUGUGCCCAGAUGGGAUUAGCUAGUAGGUGGGGUAACGGCUCACCUAGGCGACGAUCCCUAGCUGGUCUGAGAGGAUGACCAGCCACACUGGAACUGAGACACGGUCAGACUCCUACGGGAGGCAGCAGUGGGGAAUAUUGCACAAUGGGCGCAAGCCUGAUGCAGCCAUGCCGCGUGUAUGAAGAAGGCCUUCGGGUUGUAAAGUACUUUCAGCGGGGAGGAAGGCGAUAAGGUUAAUAACCUUGUCGAUUGACGUUACCCGCAGAAGAAGCACCGACUAACUCCGUGCCAGCAGCCGCCGUAA
rnacentral:rRNA from 1 species